GACGAACGCUGGCGGCGUGCUUAACACAUGCAAGUCGAACGGAAAGGCCCUGCUUUUGUGGGGUGCUCGAGUGGCGAACGGGUGCGUAACACGUGUGUAACCUGCCCUUGACUUUGGGAUAACUUCAGGAAACUGGGGCUAAUCUCGGAUAGGAGCUCCUGUUGCAUGGUGGGGGUUGGAAAGUUUCGGCGGGUGGGGAUGGACUCGCGGCUUAUCAGCUUGUUGGUGGGGUAGUGGCUUACCAAGGCUUUGACGGGUAGCCGGCAUGAGAGGGUGACCGGCCACAUUGGGACUGAGGUAGGGACCAGACGCCUACAUGAGACAGCAGGGGGGAAUAUGGCACAGUGGUCGGAAGCCGGUGGCAGCAACGUUGCGGGCGGGAUGACGGCCUGCGGGUUGAGAACCGCAUCCGCCUGUGACGAAGCUGGAGUGACGGUAAUGAGUAAAGAAGCACCGGCUAACUACGUG
rnacentral:rRNA from 1 species